GCCCCGAGAGGGUGACCGCCCCCCCUGGGACUUAGGCACGGCCCAGAUUUCUUCGGGAGGCACCAGUGGGGAAUAUUGCCCAAUGGGCGAAAGCCUGAUGCAGCGACCCCGCGUGAGGGAUGACGGCCUUCGGGUUGUAAACCUCUUUCAGUAGGGAAGAAGCGAAAGUGACGGUACCUGCAGAAGAAGCGCCGGCUAACUACGUGCCAGCAGCCGCGGUAAUACGUAGGGCGCAAGCGUUAUCCGGAAUUAUUGGGCGUAAAGAGCUCGUAGGCGGUUUGUCGCGUCUGCUGUGAAAGGCCAGGGCUCAACCCUGGUUCUGCAGUGGGUACGGGCAGACUUGAGUGAUGUAGG
rnacentral:rRNA from 1 species